UACAGAGGGUGCAAGCGUUGUUCGGAAUUAUUGGGCGUAAAGGGUGCGUAGGCGGUGCGGUAAGUCUCUUGUGAAAUCUCCGGGCUCAACUCGGAGCCUGCAAGGGAAACUGCCGUGCUUGAGUGUGGGAGAGGUGAGUGGAAUUCCCGGUGUAGCGGUGAAAUGCGUAGAUAUCAGGAGGAACACCGGUGGCGAAGGCGGGUCUCUGGGCCGUAACUGACGCUGAGGAGCGAAAGCGUGGGGAGCGAACAGG
rnacentral:rRNA from 1 species